AACGCACGAGACCUGCGGACCUGCGGAGGGAUCAUUAUAGAGUGGUAAACCUCCCGUAAAAGGGGGGGACCUCCUGUCCUUUGUAGGCUCUUUUUUAAAAGGGCUUUUUUUAAUUUUCUGCUUCGGUGGGGUUAUCCCACCGGAACAACCUCAAAACUCUCAUCACAAAAUCGUUCUGUCUGAGAACCUUUUAUAAUAAAAAAAAACUUUCAACAACGGAUCUCUAGAUCGGAAGAGCAC
rnacentral:misc_RNA from 1 species